UUAUCUGAACAGAGCAAAAUGGUUGGAGAUGUAUGGAGUCGAUAAUCAUUAUGUUAUGGGUAAAGAUGGUAAUACAUAUUCCUUGGGCUUAACACCAACAGGAAUACUAGUCUUUGAAGGAAAUACAAAAAUUGGACUGUUCUUUUGGCCAAAAAUCACCAAACUGAAUUUUAAAAACAAGAGGUUGACUUUAAUAGUUGUGGAGGAUGACGAAGAGGUAAAAG